rnacentral:rRNA from 1 species
UACGUAGGGGGCAAGCGUUGUCCGGAUUUAUUGGGCUUAAAGAGCUCGUAGGCGGCUCGGUAAGUCGGGGGUGAAAUCCCGAGGCUCAACCUCGGAACUGCCUUCGAUACUGCGGGUCUCGAGUCCGGGAGAGGUGAGUGGAAUUCCUAGUGUAGAGGUGAAAUUCGUAGAUAUUAGGAAGAACACCAGUGGCGAAGGCGGCUCACUGGCCCGGUACUGACGCUGAGGCGCGAAAGCGUGGGGAGCAAACAGG